AAUCUCCUGCAGCGUUCGAGCAGUACUGGGUGUUUCCUGAACCUGCAUUUGCCCCGGAAGCUUUUUACCCGUCAUGGUGUGCAUGCCUGUUCGUUCAGGAAGCCUGAUUGGCGGGAAUCGGUUUCCACUUGAACCUCCGGUUCAAGGACGAAAGUAUCAGACGGCGCAGGCGGGAGAUCU
rnacentral:other from 2 species